rnacentral:rRNA from 1 species
UUUAUGGAGAGUUUGAUCCUGGCUCAGAGUGAACGCUGGCGGCGUGCCUAAUACAUGCAAGUCGAACGAUGAAGCUUCUAGCUUGCUAGAAUGCUGAUUAGUGGCGCACGGGUGAGUAAUGCAUAGGUCAUGUGCCUCUUAGUUUGGGAUAGCCAUUGGAAACGAUGAUUAAUACCAGAUACUCCCUACGGGGGAAAGAUUUAUCGCUAAGAGAUCAGCCUAUGUCCUAUCAGCUUGUUGGUAAGGUAAUGGCUUACCAAGGCUAUGACGGGUAUCCGGCCUGAGAGGGUGAACGGACACACUGGAACUGAGACACGGUCCAGACUCCUACGGGAGGCAGCAGUAGGGAAUAUUGCUCAAUGGGGGAAACCCUGAAGCAGCAACGCCGCGUGGAGGAUGAAGGUUUUAGGAUUGUAAACUCCUUUUGUUAGAGAAGAUAAUGACGGUAUCUAACGAAUAAGCACCGGCUAACUCCGUGCCAGCAGCCGCGGUAAUACGGAGGGUGCAAGCGUUACUCGGAAUCACUGGGCGUAAAGAGCGCGUAGGCGGGAUAGUCAGUCAGGUGUGAAAUCCUAUGGCUUAACCAUAGAACUGCAUUUGAAACUACUAUUCUAGAGUGUGGGAGAGGUAGGUGGAAUUCUUGGUGUAGGGGUAAAAUCCGUAGAGAUCAAGAGGAAUACUCAUUGCGAAGGCGACCUGCUGGAACAUUACUGACGCUGAUUGCGCGAAAGCGUGGGGAGCAAACAGGAUUAGAUACCCUGGUAGUCCACGCCCUAAACGAUGGAUGCUAGUUGUUGGAGGGCUUAGUCUCUCCAGUAAUGCAGCUAACGCAUUAAGCAUCCCGCCUGGGGAGUACGGUCGCAAGAUUAAAACUCAAAGGAAUAGACGGGGACCCGCACAAGCGGUGGAGCAUGUGGUUUAAUUCGAAGAUACACGAAGAACCUUACCUAGGCUUGACAUUGAGAGAAUCCGCUAGAAAUAGUGGAGUGUCUGGCUUGCUAGACCUUGAAAACAGGUGCUGCACGGCUGUCGUCAGCUCGUGUCGUGAGAUGUUGGGUUAAGUCCCGCAACGAGCGCAACCCCCUUUCUUAGUUGCUAACAGGUCAUGCUGAGAACUCUAAGGAUACUGCCUCCGUAAGGAGGAGGAAGGUGGGGACGACGUCAAGUCAUCAUGGCCCUUACGCCUAGGGCUACACACGUGCUACAAUGGGGUGCACAAAGAGAAGCAAUACUGCGAAGUGGAGCCAAUCUUCAAAACACCUCUCAGUUCGGAUUGCAGGCUGCAACUCGCCUGCAUGAAGCUGGAAUCGCUAGUAAUCGCAAAUCAGCCAUGUUGCGGUGAAUACGUUCCCGGGUCUUGUACUCACCGCCCGUCACACCAUGGGAGUUGUGUUUGCCUUAAGUCAGGAUGCUAAACUAGCUACUGCCCACGGCACACACAGCGACUGGGGUGAAGUCGUAACAAGGUAACCGUAGGUGAACCUGCGGUUGGAUCACCUCCUUU